rnacentral:tRNA from 1 species
GCCUUCUUGUAACGGUUAGCAUACUCGGCUUGAAUUCGAGAUGUCCAGGUUCGAGUCCUGGAGAAGGCA